UUCCAUAUAAAUAAUCUGAUUAUCUACCUUGCUACUGGACGUAAACGUGAUUUAUAAUUGUGGAAUUUAAAGCAGCCCAACCCAACUAUCAAUUCCUGUAAACCCGAAGCCAAUUCCCGUAAAUCCCAAACCUUUUCAGUUUCCUUUUGACUGGCUAGUAGGAUGUUAUUCACACGGAAUUCCCCUGUUGGGAAAACAAAGCCUUCAACGUUCCGUAAAUAAGCCAGUCGCUCGGCGGAGAAGGCAAGUGGACGGAUGCACGUGCAGUCAGCUCCCGUGUUGGAGCCUGCAGUAAUUAAAGACAUCCAUCAGAUUAUGACGGUGUUGUCAGGAAGCAUUGCACUGUGGGACCCAUAAUGUUAACCACAGUAACCAUGACAACUGCAAUCAAACACAGAGAUGAUGUUCCACGUCAGGACUCCUCUCGUUUCCUGGUGCGUUAUGAUUCACUUACAAACUAUGUGCGCGCUUGCUGAGACACAGAACAUCAGAAGUGUUCAAAUCGCCACAUUUACUUCACUUUCAUCGUCGUUAUCGUCUGAGUGCUGCUGAUGCAAACUUUCUCUCCGUUUCACCUGUUACUUUCCAUGGUUUUGCAUUCUGCUGUAAUGUUGAGGAUUCAAAUCAAACAGUGGAACAAGUGCAUAAAGCAUUGCAUAUCAUUACUGUUUGUAAUGGCCACCAUCAAGUUCUAGAUGGGUGAGGCUGGCAAUGUUCUGACAGGAAUGUAGUCAAGUGUUUCUAAGUGAUACAUUGUAGUAGUACAUUGUACUGUGUACUGUACUGUGCAUCUUCUAUCUAGAGACACUGUGCAUGACAACUACUUCACGUAGGAUAGUAUCAAACACUGGUAU